GCACUGCAGUGUGUGGUUUCUCCUGAUUCUCCAGGUAUUCUAAAUGUUUGGCUGCGCUACUUUGGGAGCAAGUGCAGCUAAGGUUGAUUUCUGAUUUUUGGUCCCACUAGGUUCAAGUUCCCGUCCUUGACGGAGUGAACUGGGGCAGAUUGACGUUAACCACCGAUAAAUGAGGUGCUGUGGCUGUAGAGCUCUGGAACAGACUCCUCCUCCGGCAUUAACUGUGCUACAGGAGCUUGUGUUCGUACAAAGGGGGCCAGUCACUGUUUCCUACAGUUAUUUUACUUUUUGUUUUUGUGGUUAUUUACCUUGGUUGAUUAUUUUCUUGUGAUUUUAUUUAUAAGUAUUUUUUUAUAUACUUUUAUGGAAGUUUUGAAAUAGGUUUCUCUCCUCAAUUUAUGUAUGCUCACAGCUUGAUCCUGAACAAGGCCGGGUCCGUGUCGACACACUGCUUCCUCGUGGUGAGACUGCACUGCGUGACGCUGUCACGGUGUGUAUGUAGCCACGACACUAUAGAUUUUGUAGUGACUUGCAUGAUAUUUUGUAGUGUAUCGUGUAGAAAUAAGUGUGUAGUGCAUGUCUUUGUCAGUGCUGGGCCUUCCGUCUCCCACAGUCCCUCCCUUGGAAAGGUGUGCGCGGGCCAACCCGACCUUCUUGCUAUGAUGAGAGUAACACGACCUAUAUCGGCCAUCUAAGCUAUUGUUUUAUUCUACCAAAUGGCUAUUUUAAAUGGAAAACUGUUACAUUUUUUGUAAUAAAACCAAACUUAUUUACAUACAAUAUUUGCCUCCAGUAAAUUGUCCCUGUUCGGGGGAAAACCAGAGUUUGUCACUAUGGUGACUAACUAUGGUUCAAGGGUUCCUCCUAACCCUCAAAAGGAGGUGGCGUUGUCAGGCAUGAAGGGUUUUAUGCGGCUCCGCAACUACACAACGUUAAAAUGUGAACAUGUUCCGUGCCAAAAAGCAAAUGGACACAAUUUGUGACUAACAUUGAGACUGAAUUUGCAGCUAAUAAAAGCCAUUUCCCUCAGGAGUCGAAGAGGGCGACUACUGAUACGCUAU